CAUAAUGUGUUGUCUGUCACACGAAAGUAAUGUUGCAAACAAGCUAGCAAGCACCCAAGCUGAAUAAGAUUGGUGUCUGCAAGAAUCUAAGAGGCAGGUAUCUUAAGCAUUCAUCCCGCUGCUAACAUAGUCACCGCUGAUGUGAACACCCACCUAACUCUGACGCAGCUUCUACCAUGGGCAGUUACCAGCGCUUCUGCCCAUUCGAAAAAGCUUAUUUCUGGAAGCCACUUUGACCCUGUCAGCAGUGAACAGAGAUGGCAUGGAAGUUCUGGGAUGAUAUUCCUUGGAAAUGGAACCUA